rnacentral:rRNA from 1 species
AUUGAACGCUGGCGGAAGGCCUAACACAUGCAAGUCGAACGAGUGGCGGACGGGUGAGUAAUGUCUGGGAAACUGCCCGAUGGAGGGGGAUAACUACUGGAAACGGUAGCUAAUACCGCAUACCAUCGGAUGUACCCAGAUGGGAUUAGCUAGUUGGUGGGGUAACGGCUCACCUAGGCGCCGCUACCGAGCUGGUAUGAGAGGAUGACCAGCUCCACGGGAACUUGGACACGGUCCAGACUCCUACGGUAGGCAGGAUUGGGGAAUAUUGCACAAUUGGGGCAAGCCUGAUGCAGCCAUGCCGCGUUUAUGAAGAAGGCCUUCGGGUUGUAAAGUAUUUUCAGCGAUGAGGCGUUACUCGCAGAAGAAGCACCGGCUAACUCCGUGCCAGCAGCCGCGGUAAUAC